rnacentral:rRNA from 1 species
CAGCCGCCACGGUAAUACGUAGGGUGCAAGCGUUAAUCGGAAUUACUGGGCGUAAAGCGUGCGCAGGCGGUGUUGUAAGACUGAUGUGAAAUCCCCGGGCUCAACCUGGGAAUUGCAUUGGUGACUGCAACGCUGGAGUGCGGCAGAGGGGGUGGAAUUCCGCGUGUAGCAGUGAAAUGCGUAGAUAUGCGGAGGAACACCGAUGGCGAAGGCAGCCCCCUGGGCCAAUACUGACGCUCAUGCACGAAAGCGUGGGGAGCAAACAGGAUUAGAUACCCCUGUAGUCCCUGUCUCUUAUACC